GACGAACGCUUGCGGCGUGCCUAAGAAAUGCAAGUCGAGCGAGCCUAGGGCUUCGGCCCGAAAGCUAGCGGCGAACGGUCGAGUAACACGUGAGCAACCUGCCCCAGAGCGGGGGAUAGCCCACCGAAAGGUGGAUUAAUACCGCAUACGAUCCGUGCCGGGCAUCCGGCAUUGAUCAAAGCAGCAAUGCGCUUUGGGAUGGGCUCGCGGCCUAUCAGCUUGUUGGUGGGGUAACGGCCUACCAAGGCUACGACGGGUAGCUGGUCUGAGAGGAUGGUCAGCCGGAUUGGGACUGAGACACGGCCCAGACUCCUACGGGGGGCAGCAAUUAGGAAUCUUGCGCAAUGGGCGAAAGCCUGACGCAGCAACGCCGCGUGAGUGAUGAAGGCCUUCGGUUGUAAAGCUCUGUCUUUGGGGACGAGUAAUGACGGUACCCAAGGAGGAAGCCACGGCUAACUACGUG
rnacentral:rRNA from 1 species